CAUUACCGAGUUUACAACUCCCAAACCCCUGUGAACAUACCUUACUGUUGCCUCGGCGGAUCAGCCCGCUCCCGGUAAAACGGGACGGCCCGCCAGAGGACCCCUAAACUCUGUUUCUAUAUGUAACUUCUGAGUAAAACCAUAAAUAAAUCAAAACUUUCAACAACGGAUCUCUUGGUUCUGGCAUCGAUGAAGAACGCAGCAAAAUGCGAUAAGUAAUGUGAAUUGCAGAAUUCAGUGAAUCAUCGAAUCUUUGAACGCACAUUGCGCCCGCCAGUAUUCUGGCGGGCAUGCCUGUUCGAGCGUCAUUUCAACCCUCAAGCCCUCGGGUUUGGUGUUGGGGAUCGGCGAGCCUUUCUGGCAAGCCGGCCCCGAAAUCUAGUGGCGGUCUCGCUGCAGCCUCCAUUGCGUAGUAGUAAAACCCUCGCAACUGGAACGCGGCGCGGCCAAGCCGUUAAACCCCCAACUUCUGAAUGUUGACCUCGGAUCAGGUAGGAAUACCCGCUGAACUUAAGCAUAUCAAUAA
rnacentral:rRNA from 1 species